UUUUAAAAUCCUGCAUUUGAAAAAAGAGACACUGAAAGGACAGUAAAAUAACACAGGGAAAAUGGAUAAGCGUGGACUUGGACUUCUUUUGACCGUCUUGCUUUUAGUCUGUCUUAUCAAUGACACGGAGGCACAAGGACCGUGGGGCAAAAGGAGGAAAAGAGAACUGCGCCAAGGGAAGGUGAACCUUGAAAGAGAAGGCUUCAACCUACUGGAGAAAUUGAAGGCCAUUUCAAGAGAGAAUAACUUUGGGGUAGCGGAAAGGAAGAAAAGGAGAAACGUGAAAGGCGUCUGGUAGAAAUUUGUGAAAAAGAACCUUUCUGCAGCUGUUACUUGAUUUUAUUUUAAAAUUAUGGAACUUUUUUGUCUGUAAAGAAUCAACCCAGUUAUACAAUGUAUUUUCCCACCAAAUCACCAAAAUACGUCAAUAUUUUUUCUUGAAGGUUUUACAAACAUACAGUCAUGUUCACAAUAGACGACAACAGAAUUAUUGUAAAAUCACAUUUUCAUGGAGACAAUAUUAUUUUUGUGAGUGAUGAAAACAUUUUAGAUCAUGGAGAUAUUAUUUCAUGUCUGAUCAUUCGCGUUGAUUUUUUUUUUAUAUUUGAAAUGAAUGUUUCAAUGAGAUAAUUAUUUUGCUGAAUUUCUUCCUAUCUUGAAAACAACAAAUAUUAAGAAUUCCACGAAAACAAAGACUUUACAGUGUUCCUGAAAAAUGGAUGGCACAAGCGCCUGUAAUAUGUGUGUAAAAUGUAAAAUUCUUUAAUAUACCCUCGACUUAUAAUAGGCACAGAUUUAUGUUUUGUUAUAAUUAAGGAGAAAAAUUUGCAUAGUAAAAUGCAUUUCAAACAUAA